rnacentral:rRNA from 1 species
GAUGAACGCUGGCGGCGUGCCUAAUACAUGCAAGUCGAGCGAAUGGAUUAAGAGCUUGCUCUUAUGAAGUUAGCGGCGGACGGGUGAGUAACACGUGGGUAACCUGCCCAUAAGACUGGGAUAACUCCGGGAAACCGGGGCUAAUACCGGAUAACAUUUUGAACCGCAUGGUUCGAAAUUGAAAGGAGGCUUCGGCUGUCACUUCUGGAUGGACCCGCGUCGCAUUAGCUAGUUGGUGCGGUAACGGCUCACCAAGGCAACGAUGCGUAGCCGACCUGAGAGGGUGAUCGGCCACACUGGGACUGAGACACGGCCAAGACUCCUACGGGAGGCAGCAGUAGGGAAUCUUCCGCAAUGGACGAAAGUCUGACGGAGCAACGCCGCGUGAGUGAUGAAGGCUUUCGGGUCGUAAAACUCUGUUGUUAGGGAAGAACAAGUGCUAGUUGAAUAAGCUGGCACCUUGACGGUACCUAACCAGAAAGCCACGGCUAACUACGUGCCAGCCGCCGCAGUAA